rnacentral:rRNA from 1 species
UACGAAGGGGACUAGCGUUGUUCGGAAUUACUGGGCGUAAAGCGCACGUAGGCGGAUUUGUAAGUCAGGGGUGAAAUCCCGGGGGCUCAACCUCGGAACUGCCUUUGAUACUGCAAAUCUCGAGUCCGAUAGAGGUGGGUGGAAUUCCUAGUGUAGAGGUGAAAUUCGUAGAUAUUAGGAAGAACACCGGUGGCGAAGGCGGCCCACUGGAUCGGUACUGACGCUGAGGUGCGAAAGCGUGGGGAGCAAACAGG